rnacentral:rRNA from 1 species
ACAUCCAGAGAAUUUAGCAGAGAUGCUUUAGUGCCUUCGGGAACUCUGAGACAGGUGCUGCAUGGCUGUCGUCAGCUCGUGUUGUGAAAUGUUGGGUUAAGUCCCGCAACGAGCGCAACCCUUAUCCUUUGUUGCCAGCACGUAAUGGUGGGAACUCAAAGGAGACUGCCGGUGAUAAACCGGAGGAAGGUGGGGAUGACGUCAAGUCAUCAUGGCCCUUACGAGUAGGGCUACACACGUGCUACAAUGGCGCAUACAAAGAGAAGCGACCUCGCGAGAGCGAGCGGACCUCAUAAAGUGCGUCGUAGUCCGGAUUGGAGUCUGCAACUCGACUCCAUGAAGUCGGAAUCGCUAGUAAUCGUAAAUCAGAAUGUUACGGUGAAUACGUUCCCGGGCCUUGUACACACCGCCCGUCACACCAUGGGAGUGGGUUGCAAAAGAAGUAGAUAGCUUAACCUUCGGGAGGGCGUUUACCACUUUGUGAUUCAUGACUGGGGUGAAGUCGUAACAAGGUAGGCGUAGUGCU